rnacentral:rRNA from 1 species
CGCGGCCUAUCAGCUUGUUGGUGGGGUAACGGCCUACCAAGGCGUCGACGGGUAGCUGGUCUGAGAGGACGAUCAGCCACACUGGGACUGAGACACGGCCCAGACUCCUACGGGAGGCAGCAGUGGGGAAUCUUGCGCAAUGGGCGGAAGCCUGAUGCAGCGACGCCGCGUGAGGGAUGACGGCCUUCGGGUUGUAAACCUCUUUCAGCAGGGACGAAGCGUAAGUGACGGUACCUGCAGAAGAAGCACCGGCUAACUACGUGCCAGCAGCCGCGGUAAUACGUAGGGUGCGAGCGUUGUCCGGAAUUACUGGGCGUAAAGCGCCCGCAGGCGGCUCAGUAAGUCGGGUGUGAAAGCUCCAGGCUCAACCUGGAGAGGCCACCCGAUACUGCUGUGGCUAGAGUCCGGUAGGGGAGUGUGGAAUAUCCGGUGUAGCGGUGAAAUGCUUAGAUAUCGGAUGGAACACCAGCAGCGAAGGCGGUUCUCUGGGCCGGUACUGACGCUCAUGGGCGAAAGCGUGGGGAGCGAACAGGAUUAGAUACCCUGGUAGUCCACGCCGUAAACGUUGGGCACUAGGUGUGGGGACCUAUCGACGGUUUCCGUGCCGAAGCUAACGCAUUAAGUGCCCCGCCUGGGGAGUACGG